rnacentral:rRNA from 1 species
UCGAGCGCGAAAGCCCCCGCAAGGGGGCAAGUAGAGCGGCGCACGGGUGAGUAACACGUGGGCAACCUACCUCUUAGUGGGGAAUAACCUCGCGAAAGCAAGGCUAAUACCGCAUACCAUCCCCGGGACGCAUGUCCUGGGGAGCAAAGGAGCAAUUCGCUGAGAGAGGGGCCCGCGGCCGAUUAGCUAGUUGGCGGGGUAACGGCCCACCAAGGCAAUGAUCGGUAUCCGGCCUGAGAGGGCGCACGGACACACUGGAACUGAAACACGGUCCAGACUCCUACGGGAGGCAGCAGUGGGGAAUUUUGCGCAAUGGGGGAAACCCUGACGCAGCAACGCCGCGUGGAGGAUGAAGUCCCUUGGGACGUAAACUCCUUUCGACCAAGACGAUAAUGACGGUACUGGUGGAAGAAGCACCGGCUAACUCUGUGCC